rnacentral:rRNA from 1 species
CUCCUACGGGAGGCAGCAGUGAGGAAUAUUGGUCAAUGGACGAGAGUCUGAACCAGCCAAGUAGCGUGCAGGAAGACGGCCCUAUGGGUUGUAAACUGCUUUUAUAAGGGAAUAAAGUGAGUCUCGUGAGACUUUUUGCAUGUACCUUAUGAAUAAGGACCGGCUAAUUCCGUGCCAGCAGCCGCGGUAAUACGGAAGGUCCGGGCGUUAUCCGGAUUUAUUGGGUUUAAAGGGAGCGUAGGCCGGAGAUUAAGCGUGUUGUGAAAUGUAGACGCUCAACGUCUGCACUGCAGCGCGAACUGGUUUCCUUGAGUACGCACAAAGUGGGCGGAAUUCGUGGUGUAGCGGUGAAAUGCUUAGAUAUCACGAAGAACUCCGAUUGCGAAGGCAGCUCACUGGAGCGCAACUGACGCUGAAGCUCGAAAGUGCGGGUAUCGAACAGGAUUAGAUACCCUGGUAGUCCGCACGGUAAACGAUGGAUGCCCGCUGUUGGUCUGAAUAGGUCAGCGGCCAAGCGAAAGCAUUAAGCAUCCCACCUGGGGAGUACGCCGGCAACGGUGAAACUCAAAGGAAUUGACGGGGGCCCGCACAAGCGGAGGAACAUGUGGUUUAAUUCGAUGAUACGCGAGGAACCUUACCCGGGCUUGAAUUGCAGAGGAAGGAUUUGGAGACAAUGACGCCCUUCGGGGCCUCUGUGAAGGUGCUGCAUGGUUGUCGUCAGCUCGUGCCGUGAGGUGUCGGCUUAAGUGCCAUAACGAGCGCAACCCCUCUCCUUAGUUGCCAUCAGGUCAUGCUGGGCACUCUGGGGACACUGCCACCGUAAGGUGUGAGGAAGGUGGGGAUGACGUCAAAUCAGCACGGCCCUUACGUCCGGGGCUACACACGUGUUACAAUGGCAGGUACAGAGAGAUGGUCCCUUGCAAAAUGGAUCAAAUCCUUAAAGCCUGUCUCAGUUCGGACUGGGGUCUGCAACCCGACCCCACGAAGCUGGAUUCGCUAGUAAUCGCGCAUCAGCCAUGGCGCGGUGAAUACGUUCCCGGGCCUUGUACACACCGC